AUGAAGCUAUCUCUUGCAGGGUUUCGAAGUUCGUUGCCAUUUUCUGGGCUAAUUAGGCAGCUUGAAAAAGAUGUAGAAACUGUUAUUAAGGUGCUACAGCCUGGACCUUUGGGAAUCACAGAGCAUAAGUUUUCUACCGAUGAGAUUCGUAAUGCUAAUGUUACAGUCGCUAAAGCAGUCGCUAAUUGGCGAAGAAAUACAAUCCUUGAGGACAAGAAUCAUAUCUUGAAAGACUAUAUUCAAAAGUGA